AUUGAACGCUGGCGGCAGGCCUAACACAUGCAAGUCGAGCGGAUGAAGGGAGCUUGCUCCUGGAUUCAGCGGCGGACGGGUGAGUAAUUCCUAGGAAUCUGCCUGGUAGUGGUUGAUAACGUCCGGAAACGGGCGCUAAUACCGCAUACGUCCUGAGGGAGAAAGUGGGGGAUCUUCGGACCUCACGCUAUCAGAUGAGCCUAGGUCGGAUUAGCUAGUUGGUGGGGUAAAGGCCUACCAAGGCGACGAUCCGUAACUGGUCUGAGAGGAUGAUCAGUCACACUGGAACUGAGACACGGUCCAGACUCCUACGGGAGGCAGCAGUGGGGAAUAUUGGACAAUGGGCGAAAGCCUGAUCCAGCCAUGCCGCGUGUGUGAAGAAGGUCUUCGGAUUGUAAAGCACUUUAAGUUGGGAGGAAGGGCAGUAAGUUAAUACCUUGCUGUUUUGACGUUACCAAAAGAAUAAGCACCGGCUAACUUCGUG
rnacentral:rRNA from 1 species